GGAUAGCUCAGUCAGUAGAGCAUGAGACUCAGUCUCAGGCUUGUGGGUUCGAGCCCAACGUUGGGCA